rnacentral:rRNA from 1 species
AUUGAACGCUGGCGGCAUGCUUUACACAUGCAAGUCGAACGGUAACAGGCCGCAAGGUGCUGACGAGUGGCGAACGGGUGAGUAAUGCAUCGGAACGUGCCCAGUCGUGGGGGAUAACGCAGCGAAAGCUGCGCUAAUACCGCAUACGAUCUCUGGAUGAAAGCGGGGGACCGAAAGGCCUCGCGCGAUUGGAGCGGCCGAUGUCAGAUUAAGUAGUUGGUGGGGUAAAGGCCCACCAAGCCAACGAUCUGUAGCUGGUCUGAGAAGACGACCAGCCACACUGGGACUGAGACACGGCCCAGACUCCUACGGGAGGCAGCAGUGGGGAGUUUUGGACAAUGGGCGCAAGCCUGAUCCAGCAAUGCCGCGUGCAGGAAGAAGGCCUUCGGGUUGUAAACUGCUUUUGUACGGAACGAAACGGUCCGGGUUAAUACCCUGGGCUAAUGACGGUACCGUAAGAAUAAGCACCGGCUAACUACGUGCCAGCAGCCGCGGUAA